rnacentral:rRNA from 1 species
UACGGGGGGGGCAAGCGUUGUUCGGAAUUACUGGGCGUAAAGGGUUCGUAGGUGGCUCGCUAAGUCAGACGUGAAAUCCCUCAGCUUAACUGGGGAACUGCGUCUGAGACUGGCGAGCUUGAGUGCAGGAGAGGAACGCGGAAUUCCAGGUGUAGCGGUGAAAUGCGUAGAUAUCUGGAGGAACACCGGUGGCGAAGGCGGCGUUCUGGACUGCAACUGACACUGAGGAACGAAAGCCAGGGGAGCGAACGGG